rnacentral:lncRNA from 1 species
UGGAACGUUGCUGCGCUGCUUGGGACAUCCUCCAUGACCCACUCAAAGCCCCUGGGGUAGUAAAUCCCUGUCCUUGGGUGUGGCACCCACAGUGCUGUCUCUGCUGACCUUGCUGCUGUUGGCUGCACCCGGUUCGUAAGGUUAGAGUUUUGCCUGUUCUUAACUUCCCUACAUAUGACAAUCCAAGCAGUUACUUUAUGGAGCAUAUCAGCAUAAUGAUGUUGCAUUUAGCAAUUCAAGUUUCUCUUCAUUAGCAUAUGAACAACCUUUGGAUUACAGUAAUGCUUGAAUGUCAUCGUUCUGGAAUCUACCAAUUGAAAGCUUCAUUAUUGCAGGUUUAGAGGGAUGCUAGAGGCUACUUACCGGAGAAGACCAGUCGAUUUUGCAAUUGCACUCCGGCCCAUCAACAAAGGCUGGGGAGGCGCUAAAAUCUGCUACUGUCUGUUCUUUCCUCCUUGGGGUCAAGUAGCCGAUGGCAGUUCCC